CCUCGAUCCUUCUCUGUGAUUCUGCAUUUGCUGGAGCCUAUCCUCUCUCCUCUGUUCUCAUUCUCUGCGCAAGGACCCCAUGGAUGUGUUCGCGUUCCCUCUGUCAAGGUCCAGCGCUAGGACCCCAUGGAUGUGUUCGUGUUCCCUCCGUUAAGGUCCAGCACAGGGAAAAAUCUAAACUCUCUGGGCAUGUGAAAAAAUGCUUAAACUAUUAGAGACAUUCCCCCUAUGUGUUUUCCUAGGGAAUUUAAACUUACAAAAUAGUGAUCUUCUGUGUAGUCCUGUGUGCAUCCUAUCUUGCACUGUAGUUGCCAUAGUUAAAUCAGUCCUUUUGCUAAGUUUAAUUUAUAUCCUUUUGUUCCUUCUAUUAGUUACAUAUAUAUUUAUUAACUGGAUACCUAUGCCAUUUUUUUUCUCUUCAUAGAGAAUGAAUUCCGCCUCCAGACACUGAAUCUAGAGAGACAAUGAACACAAAGAAAAGCAUUAUGGCCAAAACAUAUUAAUGUAUGGCUUCGUGUCAUUGCAGCUUUAGUAAAGGCCGAGGUAAAUAACACAGAAAGCACAGGGAGAAAUCUAACCACUGCAUGGGAUGCAAUUAGGUAGAUCGAGAAGGAAAAAAAUCUGUGUAUAAACUGCCUGUCUGAGUUAGCUGAAGAACACACUAGAAAAUGUUGUCCCAAGAAGAAUUCAAAUCUUGGAUUAUCCAAGCCAUUGCAGAAGACUUUAAAGUUACAGCCCAAUUUCCCAUCCAAGUGUCAAAUGGUAGAUACUUAUUCAUCAGAUGCAGAUUAUGGAAUUUUAGAAGAAGAUGAAUCAGAAUAUUAUCCUAAAAACCUGGAAUCAAAAUCUGUUAAUAAGCUGUUUUUUCUUAUUAGAGAUACCUUACACAUACCGAGGGAAAAGUCUGAAAAGUCCUCUCUGUGCCUCUUUCCCCGUGGCCCCUAUGUGCGUUUUUCUCUUUUACAACCCCUUUUGUGAGUCUUCCUUUGCCAGGCACUUUUUUUGUGAGUAUUUAACCCCUUAAGGACCAAACUUCUGGAAUAAAAGGGAAUCAUGACAUGUCACACGUCAUUUGUCCUUAAGGGGUUAAACCCUUCCCCUCCCCCCCAACCACACAAGGGUGUCUUUUCUCUCUAUUUCUCUGUGAGUCUCUUUUGCACAUGACACUUUUGUGUGUCUCAUUCACUCCCCCAUCGAUUUCUGGUCUCUUCCAUUCCCCCCUCUCCCCUACUGAUGUGGCUCCUUACCUCCUGUAGUGUGGUUUGCCUGAUAUUUUUUCACCAGUCAAAACAGAGAAUGUUGGCUCAAUGCUUAUCCAGGGCAGCCCAUGCACAAAGCCCCUCUCGCAUGAGAAAAAGGCCCUGUAUUUGUUCAGCGCAGCACAAGCAAAUUUGACACACCUGCGCUGAGUUUGCUUUUGACUUGUUUCUGGUGACUCCAUAAGUUGGAUACUAGAGGACAAAAGGGCCAGGAAAUCAUAUUGUGCAUGUGUAUGGGGCUACAUGUGACAUUGUGUGUGUAGAGUAAGCUGAUUGUGGUGUUUUGUGUAAAUAGAUCAACUUCAGUUCUGUUGUGUUCGUGGUGUAAAAUGUGUAGCUAGGGGUUUUAUAGAGUGAAAAAGUGUGUGUGUAUGCAUGUGUGUGUGUGUGGGGGGGGCAUAAUGUGUAUAGGGGAUGUAGUGCAUGUGAGUAUGGAUGAUGUAGUGUGUGUAGAGGCUGUAGAGAGGGUGUUUUUAGGGAAUAUAGGAUGUGUGUUUGCGUACAGGGGAUCUAGUGUGUGCAUAGGAGAUAGAGAAUGUGUACAUGGAAUGUAGUGUAUGUUUGUGUCUAACCCAGGGGGCUCCGUUCGUGCAUUUAUUCGUUUCUAUGACUUUUCUAAAUAGACCGACCGCACAGCCUAAACUCAUGGAACUGUUUCUGGGCAGGAGCCUCGUGUGCGGUCGGUCAAAUGGGACUUUCGAAAACCCCUGAACUGAUCUGGGUUAUUUUUGGAUAUGUUCGUCACCCAGAUCAGGGCUAUCAGGGAAUGUGACUUUUAUGGGGCUAUUAUGUGUUUUAGGGUACUUUCCAUGGUUUGGGGAAAAUAUGUUUUUACUGCCUGGAGAUAAUGGAGUUAUUAAGUUAGCUGACUCAAUUUUCUCACAGGCAGAGAGGAGGGGAUUGUCUGUUUGCAUUGGGAGUGUUCAUCUUUGUCAAUGUAAUAUUAUUGGCUGGAACCUUUGUGUCCCUGUCCCCCACAAGAUCCAUGUGGGAGUGCCCCUUGCAUG